GUAGUCUCGCACAGAUGCAUAUCAAUAAGCGGAGGAAAAGAAACUAACAAGGAUUCCCUUAGUAACGGCGAGUGAAGCGGGAAGAGCUCAAAUUUGAAAUCUUCAAGGUUUUACCUUGACGAAUUGUAGUUUAAAGAAGUGUUUUCUGUUGAAGUUUUGGUAAAAGUUCUUUGGAAUAGGACAUCAUAGAGGGUGAGAAUCCCGUAUUUGACCAUUAUUUUCAGCUGUGUGAUACACUUUCAAAGAGUCGGAUUGUUUGGGAAUGCAGUCCAAAAUGGGUGGUAAAUUUCAUCUAAAGCUAAAUAUUGGCGAGAGACCGAUAGCGAACAAGUACCGUGAGGGAAAGAUGAAAAGAACUUUGAAAAGAGAGUUAAACAGUACGUGAAAUUGUCAAAAGGGAAGCGUUUGACACCAGUGUUGUUUUCUCGAAAAUCAAUUAAAAAGAGUUAGAUUUUGUUGUGUAUUGACCUUAACAGCUUGCAUUUCAAUUUUCUUGCUUUUUUUAAUGACACUUUUCGUUUAACAAGUCAACAUCAGUUUCUUUUGUUGUAAAAAGGUCAUUGGAAGGUGGCUUUCUUUUCAGAGAAAGUGUUUAUAGCCUUUGACUCCUGCAAUCGGAGAGACUGAGGUCUGCAGCGUAGAUCCUUCGGGGUUAGAUACAUUUGUGCUAAGUUAUAGCUUUUUAUAGACAACUUGUUGACUAUGAUUAGUCUUGUAGCUUACUCGCUUAUGCUAUUUUACCUACGCUUAGGAUGUUGAGCGCAUGUCUCUCUCU
rnacentral:rRNA from 1 species